rnacentral:rRNA from 1 species
UGGUCGGACGCCUAGCCUGUGUAAAGCUCCUUCGACGAGUCGAGUAGUUUGGGAAUGCUGCUCUAAAUGGGAGGUAUAUGUCUUCUAAAGCUAAAUACCGGCCAGAGACCGAUAGCGCACAAGUAGAGUGAUCGAAAGAUGAAAAGCACUUUGAAAAGAGGGUUAAAUAGUACGUGAAAUUGUUGAAAGGGAAGCGCUUGUGACCAGACUUGGGCCCGGUGGAUCAUCCAGCGUUCUCGCUGGUGCACUCCGCCGGGUUCAGGCCAGCAUCAGUUCGCCGCGGGGGAAAAAGGCUUCGGGAACGUGGCUCCUACGGGAGUGUUAUAGCCCGUUGCAUAAUACCCUGGGGCGGACUGAGGUUCGCGCUCCGCAAGGAUGCUGGCGUAAUGGUCAUCAGCGACCCGUCUUGAAACACGGA